rnacentral:rRNA from 1 species
UUGAACGCUGGCGGCAGGCCUAACACCUGCAAGUCGAACGGUAACAGGAAGCAGCUUGCUGCUUUGCUGACGAGUGGCGGACGGGUGAGUAAUGUCUGGGAAACUGCUUGAUGGAGGGGGAUAACUACUGGAAACGGUAGCUAAUACCGCAUAACGUCGCAAGACCAAAGAGGGGGACCUUCGGGCCUCUUGCCAUCGGAUGUGCCCAGAUGGGAUUAGCUAGUAGGUGGGGUAACGGCUCACCUAGGCGACGAUCCCUAGCUGGUCUGAGAGGAUGACCAGCCACACUGGAACUGAGACACGGUCCAGACUCCUACGGGAGGCAGCAGUGGGGAAUAUUGCACAAUGGGCGCAAGCCUGAUGCAGCCAUGCCGCGUGUAUGAAGAAGGCCUUCGGGUUGUAAAGUACUUUCAGCGGGGAGGAAGGGAGUAAAGUUAAUACCUUUGCUCAUUGACGUUACCCGCAGAAGAAGCACCGGCUAACUCCGUG